GGGUUGUGAGGUUAAGCGACUAAGCGUACACGGUGGAUGCCCUGGCAGUCAGAGGCGAUGAAGGACGUGCUAAUCUGCGAUAAGCGUCGGUAAGGUGAUAUGAACCGUUAUAACCGGCGAUUUCCGAAUGGGGAAACCCAGUGUGAUUCGUCACACUAUCAUUAACUGAAUCCAUAGGUUAAUGAGGCGAACCGGGGGAACUGAAACAUCUAAGUACCCCGAGGAAAAGAAAUCAACCGAGAUUCCCCCAGUAGCGGCGAGCGAACGGGGAGCAGCCCAGAGCCUGAAUCAGUGUGUGUGUUAGUGGAAGCGUCUGGAAAGGCGCGCGAUACAGGGUGACAGCCCCGUACACAAAAAUGCACAUACUGUGAGCUCGAUGAGUAGGGCGGGACACGUGGUAUCCUGUCUGAAUAUGGGGGGACCAUCCUCCAAGGCUAAAUACUCCUGACUGACCGAUAGUGAACCAGUACCGUGAGGGAAAGGCGAAAAGAACCCCGGCGAGGGGAGUGAAAAAGAACCUGAAACCGUGUACGUACAAGCAGUGGGAGCACGCUUAGGCGUGUGACUGCGUACCUUUUGUAUAAUGGGUCAGCGACUUAUAUUCUGUAGCAAGGUUAACCGAAUAGGGGAGCCGAAGGGAAACCGAGUCUUAACUGGGCGUUAAGUUGCAGGGUAUAGACCCGAAACCCGGUGAUCUAGCCAUGGGCAGGUUGAAGGUUGGGUAACACUAACUGGAGGACCGAACCGACUAAUGUUGAAAAAUUAGCGGAUGACUUGUGGCUGGGGGUGAAAGGCCAAUCAAACCGGGAGAUAGCUGGUUCUCCCCGAAAGCUAUUUAGGUAGCGCCUCGUGAAUUCAUCUCCGGGGGUAGAGCACUGUUUCGGCAAGGGGGUCAUCCCGACUUACCAACCCGAUGCAAACUGCGAAUACCGGAGAAUGUUAUCACGGGAGACACACGGCGGGUGCUAACGUCCGUCGUGAAGAGGGAAACAACCCAGACCGCCAGCUAAGGUCCCAAAGUCAUGGUUAAGUGGGAAACGAUGUGGGAAGGCCCAGACAGCCAGGAUGUUGGCUUAGAAGCAGCCAUCAUUUAAAGAAAGCGUAAUAGCUCACUGGUCGAGUCGGCCUGCGCGGAAGAUGUAACGGGGCUAAACCAUGCACCGAAGCUGCGGCAGCGACGCUGAUGCGUUGUUGGGUAGGGGAGCGUUCUGUAAGCCUGCGAAGGUGUGCUGUGAGGCAUGCUGGAGGUAUCAGAAGUGCGAAUGCUGACAUAAGUAACGAUAAAGCGGGUGAAAAGCCCGCUCGCCGGAAGACCAAGGGUUCCUGUCCAACGUUAAUCGGGGCAGGGUGAGUCGACCCCUAAGGCGAGGCCGAAAGGCGUAGUCGAUGGGAAACAGGUUAAUAUUCCUGUACUUGGUGUUACUGCGAAGGGGGGACGGAGAAGGCUAUGUUGGCCGGGCGACGGUUGUCCCGGUUUAAGCGUGUAGGCUGGUUUUCCAGGCAAAUCCGGAAAACUAAGGCUGAGGCGUGAUGACGAGGCACUACGGUGCUGAAGCAACAAAUGCCCUGCUUCCAGGAAAAGCCUCUAAGCAUCAGGUAACAUCAAAUCGUACCCCAAACCGACACAGGUGGUCAGGUAGAGAAUACCAAGGCGCUUGAGAGAACUCGGGUGAAGGAACUAGGCAAAAUGGUGCCGUAACUUCGGGAGAAGGCACGCUGAUAUGUAGGUGAAGUCCCUCGCGGAUGGAGCUGAAAUCAGUCGAAGAUACCAGCUGGCUGCAACUGUUUAUUAAAAACACAGCACUGUGCAAACACGAAAGUGGACGUAUACGGUGUGACGCCUGCCCGGUGCCGGAAGGUUAAUUGAUGGGGUCAGCGCAAGCGAAGCUCUUGAUCGAAGCCCCGGUAAACGGCGGCCGUAACUAUAACGGUCCUAAGGUAGCGAAAUUCCUUGUCGGGUAAGUUCCGACCUGCACGAAUGGCGUAAUGAUGGCCAGGCUGUCUCCACCCGAGACUCAGUGAAAUUGAACUCGCUGUGAAGAUGCAGUGUACCCGCGGCAAGACGGAAAGACCCCGUGAACCUUUACUAUAGCUUGACACUGAACAUUGAGCCUUGAUGUGUAGGAUAGGUGGGAGGCUUUGAAGUGUGGACGCCAGUCUGCAUGGAGCCGACCUUGAAAUACCACCCUUUAAUGUUUGAUGUUCUAACGUUGACCCGUGAUCCGGGUUGCGGACAGUGUCUGGUGGGUAGUUUGACUGGGGCGGUCUCCUCCUAAAGAGUAACGGAGGAGCACGAAGGUUGGCUAAUCCUGGUCGGACAUCAGGAGGUUAGUGCAAUGGCAUAAGCCAGCUUGACUGCGAGCGUGACGGCGCGAGCAGGUGCGAAAGCAGGUCAUAGUGAUCCGGUGGUUCUGAAUGGAAGGGCCAUCGCUCAACGGAUAAAAGGUACUCCGGGGAUAACAGGCUGAUACCGCCCAAGAGUUCAUAUCGACGGCGGUGUUUGGCACCUCGAUGUCGGCUCAUCACAUCCUGGGGCUGAAGUAGGUCCCAAGGGUAUGGCUGUUCGCCAUUUAAAGUGGUACGCGAGCUGGGUUUAGAACGUCGUGAGACAGUUCGGUCCCUAUCUGCCGUGGGCGCUGGAGAACUGAGGGGGGCUGCUCCUAGUACGAGAGGACCGGAGUGGACGCAUCACUGGUGUUCGGGUUGUCAUGCCAAUGGCACUGCCCGGUAGCUAAAUGCGGAAGAGAUAAGUGCUGAAAGCAUCUAAGCACGAAACUUGCCCCGAGAUGAGUUCUCCCUGACUCCUUGAGAGUCCUGAAGGAACGUUGAAGACGACGACGUUGAUAGGCCGGGUGUGUAAGCGCAGCGAUGCGUUGAGCUAACCGGUACUAAUGAACCGUGAGGCUUAACCUUACAACGCCGAAG
rnacentral:rRNA from 1 species